rnacentral:rRNA from 1 species
AGAGUUUGAUCAUGGCUCAGGAUGAACGCUAGCGGCAGGCCUAAUACAUGCAAGUCGGACGGGAUUGAAGAGCUUGCUCUUCAUGAGAGUGGCGCACGGGUGCGUAACACGUAUGUAACCUACCCAUAUCAGGGGGAUAGCCUCUCGAAAGAGAGAUUAAGCCCGCAUAACAUUACGGAAUAGCAUUAUUUUGUAAUCAAAUAUUUAUAGGAUAUGGAUGGGCAUGCGGAACAUUAGCUAGUUGGUAAGGUAACGGCUUACCAAGGCUACGAUGUUUAGGGGAUCUGAGAGGAUGACCCCCCACACUGGUACUGAGGCACGGACCAGACUCCUACGGGAGGCAGCAGUAAGGAAUAUUGGUCAAUGGGCGCAAGCCUGAACCAGCCAUGCCGCGUGCAGGAAGACGGCCCUACGGGUUGUAAACUGCUUUUAUACGGGAAUAAACCUAUCUACGUGUAGAUAGUUGAAUGUACUGUAAGAAUAAGGAUCGGCUAACUCCGUGCCAGCAGCCGCGGUAAUACGGAGGAUCCAAGCGUUAUCCGGAUUUAUUGGGUUUAAAGGGUGCGUAGGCGGCCUAUUAAGUCAGGGGUGAAAGACGGUAGCUUAACUAUCGCAGUGCCUUUUGAUACUGAUAGGCUUGAAUGUACUUGAGGUAGGCGGAAUGUGACAAGUAGCGGUGAAAUGCAUAGAUAUGUCACAGAACACCAAUUGCGAAGGCAGCUUACUAAAGUAUGAUUGACGCUGAGGCACGAAAGCGUGGGGAUCAAACAGGAUUAGAUACCCUAGUAGUCC